rnacentral:rRNA from 1 species
CGCGAAGAACCUUACCAGGCCUUGACAUGCAGAGAACUUUCCAGAGAUGGAUUGGUGCCUUCGGGAACUCUGGCACAGGUGCUGCAUGGCUGUCGUCAACUCGUGUCGUGAGAUGUUGGGUUAAGUCCCGUAACGAGCGCAACCCUUGUCCUUAGUUACCAGCACGUUAAGGUGGGCACUCUAAGGAGACUGCCGGUGACAAACCGGAGGAAGGUGGGGAUGACGUCAAGUCAUCAUGGCCCUUACGGCCUGGGCUACACACGUGCUACAAUGGUCGGUACAAAGGGUUGCCAAGCCGCGAGGUGGAGCUAAUCCCAUAAAACCGAUCGUAGUCCGGAUCGCAGUCUGCAACUCGACUGCGUGAAGUCGGAAUCGCUAGUAAUCGUGAAUCAGAAUGUCACGGUGAAUACGUUCCCGGGUCUUGUACACACCGA